GCGCGAAACUUUACACUGCGGGAAACCGCGAUAAGGGGACCCCGAGUGCCAGCACCUAGUGCUGGCUGUCCAGCUGUUCAAAAACAGUUGUUAGCAAGGGCCGGGCAAGACCGGUGCCAGCCGCCGCGGUAACACCGGCGGCCCGAGUGGUAGCCGUUAUUAUUGGGUUUAAAGGGUCCGUAGCCGGCCUAUUAAGUCUCUUGGGAAAUCUGGCGACUCAAUCGUCAGGCGUUCAAGAGAUACUGGUAGGCUUGGGACCGGGAGAGGUGGGAGGUACUCCAGGGGUAGGGGUGAAAUCUCGUAAUCCUUGGGGGACCACCGAUGGCGAAGGCAUCCCACCAGAACGGGUCCGACGGUGAGGGACGAAAGCUGGGGGCACGAACCGGAUUAGAUACCCGGGUAGUCCCAGCUGUAAACGAUGCUCGCUAGGUGUCAGGUGCGGUGCGACCGCAUCUGGUGCCGUAGUGAAAACUUGAAGCGAGUCACCUGGGAAAGUCGACGGUCGACGACGUCUAGUAAAACGUAAAGUAAGUCGGGGAGGGACGACGACUAACG
rnacentral:rRNA from 1 species